UCCCAGGUAGCUCAAUGGUAAAGAACCUGCCCGCAAAGCAGGGGAUCCGGGUUCGAUCCCUGGGUUGGGAA
rnacentral:tRNA from 1 species